rnacentral:rRNA from 1 species
AUGCUGCCGGCUGGCGUCAAGUUUGAUCCCACGGAUCAGGUGCUGAUCGAGCACCUUCAGGCCAAAGUGACUGCUGACAGCGCGAGAUCUCACCCUCUCAUCAAUUUGUUCAUACCAACCAUCGACAGCGAGCACGACAUAUGCUACACUCAUCCUGAGAAACUUCCAGGUAUCACACUGAGUGGCCUAAGCAAGCAUUUAUUCCAGCGCAAUUCCAGGGCGUUCAAAAGGGGCACGUGGACGUGUCGCAAGAUACAGUCGGAGUGCGGCAUGCACGUGAUGAGCCAUAAGACCGGCAAUACCUUGCCGGUGGUGGUCAACGGCCAGCAGACGGGCAGCAAAAACGUUCUGGUGCUGCACACCAAUAAGAACUUCGACCAACAGAGGACCAACUGGGUGAUGCACCAGUACCACCUCGGGGACCUGGAGCAAGAGAAGGAGCGGGAGCUGGUCCUCUACAAGAUUUUCUACCAGACGAACACUAGGGCCAGGAGUAAAAAGAUUAUAAGUUAG